UGAAAGAGUGGGAAGACUUAGUUUCAACUUAACGGUGAUUUGCAGAGACUACACUGAAGAAGGUGAAGUGGAGAGUCGGUGAUCCCUAUCGUAGUAGUUGGGCCAAGUGAUGGGGUUUGUAUGAAAGUGGGCCACACUGAAUCAGAUAACUGGGAAAUAACUGUGUCCGGCCUUGGGAAAUUAUUGACGUGGCCGCAUAACAGUUUUCUAUUGGUCAAUUAAAUUAGAUGACGUGGAUGCUCUCUCCGCUCACCGUAUUCUGC
rnacentral:lncRNA from 1 species